rnacentral:rRNA from 1 species
ACAGGGAGGUAGUGACAAGAAAUAACAAUACGGGGCUUAAUGUCUUGUAAUUGGAAUGAUGGGAAUUUAAACCUCUUCCAGAGUAUCAAUUGGAGGGCAAGUCUGGUGCCAGCAGCCGCGGUAAUUCCAGCUCCAAUAGCGUAUAUUAAAAUUGUUGCAGUUAAAAAGCUCGUAGUUGAAUUUCUGCUACAUUGCCUAAUCCCCCUUUCCGAUUUUGGGUCUUUUGUGGCUUAUCGGGGUUCGCUUGCUUUCCCGGUGUUUUACUUUGAGAAAAUUAGAGUGCUCAAAGCAGGCUUUUGCCUUGAAUAGUUUAGCAUGGAAUAAUAAAGUAGGACUUUGGUUCUUUUUUGUUGGUUUUAGGUACCAAAGUAAUGGUAAAUAGGAACAGUUGGGGGCUUUCUUAUUUAAUUGUCAGAGGUGAAAUUCUUAAAUUUGUUAAAAACGAACUACUGCGAAGGCAUUUGCCAGGGAUGUUUUCAUUAAUCAAAAACAAAGGUUAGGGGAUCAAAGAAAAUCAAAUACCGCCUUACUCCUAACCAUAACCUAUGCGGACUAGAGUUUGGAGGUCUUCAUUUUUACGAACCCGUU